rnacentral:rRNA from 1 species
AGAGUUUGAUCCUGGCUCAGGAUGAACGCUAGCGGCAGGCUUAACACAUGCAAGUCGAGGGGCAGCGGGGAGGAAGCUUGCUUUCUCCGCCGGCGACCGGCGCACGGGUGAGUAACACGUAUGCAACCUGCCCCUGUCAGGGGGACAACCCGCCGAAAGGCGGGCUAAACCCGCGUACAUGCCACCGGGGCAUCCCGGAGGCAGGAAAGGCUUCGGCCGGACAGGGAUGGGCAUGCGGCGCAUUAGGCAGUAGGCGGGGUAACGGCCCACCUAACCGACGAUGCGUAGGGGUUCUGAGAGGAAGGUCCCCCACACUGGUACUGAGACACGGACCAGACUCCUACGGGAGGCAGCAGUGAGGAAUAUUGGUCAAUGGUCGGGAGACUGAACCAGCCAAGCCGCGUGAGGGAGGAAGGUACAGAGUAUCGUAAACCUCUUUUGUCAGGGAACAAAGGCGGGGACGUGUCCCCGGAUGAGUGUACCUGAAGAAAAAGCAUCGGCUAACUCCGUGCCAGCAGCCGCGGUAAUACGGAGGAUGCGAGCGUUAUCCGGAUUUAUUGGGUUUAAAGGGUGCGCAGGCGGUCUGUUAAGUCAGCGGUCAAAGCCCGGGGCUCAACCCCGGCCCGCCGUUGAAACUGGCAGUCUCGAGUUGGAGAGAAGUAUGCGGAAUGCGCGGUGUAGCGGUGAAAUGCAUAGAUAUCGCGCAGAACUCCGAUUGCGAAGGCAGCAUGCCGGCUCCACACUGACGCUGAGGCACGAAAGCGUGGGUAUCGAACAGGAUUAGAUACCCUGGUAGUCCACGCAGUAAACGAUGAAUGCUGGCUGUCCGGGGGGACUGACCCCUGGGUGGCGAAGCGAAAGCGAUAAGCAUUCCACCUGGGGAGUACGCCGGCAACGGUGAAACUCAAAGGAAUUGACGGGGGCCCGCACAAGCGGAGGAACAUGUGGUUUAAUUCGAUGAUACGCGAGGAACCUUACCCGGGCUCAAACGGGGAGUGGCGCAGGCAGAGACGCCUGUUUCCCACGGGACACUCCCCGAGGUGCUGCAUGGUUGUCGUCAGCUCGUGCCGUGAGGUGUCGGCUUAAGUGCCAUAACGAGCGCAACCCCCGCGUGCAGUUGCUAACAGUCAACGCUGAGGACUCUGCACGGACUGCCGGCGCAAGCCGCGAGGAAGGCGGGGAUGACGUCAAAUCAGCACGGCCCUUACGUCCGGGGCGACACACGUGUUACAAUGGGUGGUACAGCGGGAAGCCAGGCGGCGACGCCGAGCGGAACCCGAAAUCCACUCUCAGUUCGGAUCGGAGUCUGCAACCCGACUCCGUGAAGCUGGAUUCGCUAGUAAUCGCGCAUCAGCCAUGGCGCGGUGAAUACGUUCCCGGGCCUUGCACUCAACGCCCGUCAAG